UCUACGGGAGGCAGCAGUAGGGAAUCUUCCGCAAUGGGCGAAAGCCUGACGGAGCAACGCCGCGUGAGUGAUGAAGGUUUUCGGAUCGUAAAACUCUGUUAUUAGGGAAGAACAAAUGCGUAAGUAACUGUGCGCAUCUUGACGGUACCUAAUCAGAAAGCCACGGCUAACUACGUGCCAGCAGCCGCGGUAAUA
rnacentral:rRNA from 1 species